rnacentral:tRNA from 1 species
CGGCGGGUAGUUCGAGGUGGAGCUCAGCGUCGGCUGCUGAAAGGUGCGGCCGGCGCGCGGGUCCGUCUCCUGGGCUGCCGU